CCUGACAGAACUGAAUCUGAGCGAUAAUAAACCAGGAGAUUCAGGAGUGAAGCUGCUCUCUGCUCUACUGGAGGAUCCACACUGUAAACUGCAGAAACUACAUAUUUGACAGUGGAAACUCCACAAGCUCCAAACAAGUGAAUCAAAACAACACGUCCUGAACAAGACUGUCACCUGGACAAAUACUGAUACUGAUCCAGCAGUUU